rnacentral:rRNA from 1 species
UACGUAGGGGGCGAGCGUUGUCCGAAGUUACUGGGCGUAAAGCGCGCGUAGGCGGGAAAUUAAGUGAGAAGUGAAAAGGCUGGGGCUCAACCUCAUGCAGUGCUUCUCAUACUGGUUUUUCUUGAGGGCGGUAGAGAAAAAGUGGAAUGGCUGGUGUAGCGGUGAAAAUGCGUAGAUAUCAGUCGGAACACCGGUGGCGAAGGCGGCU